AGUGAACGCUGGCGGUAGGCCUAACACAUGCAAGUCGAACGGCAGCACAGUAAGAGCUUGCUCUUACGGGUGGCGAGUGGCGGACGGGUGAGGAAUACAUCGGAAUCUACUUUUUCGUGGGGGAUAACGUAGGGAAACUUACGCUAAUACCGCAUACGACCUACGGGUGAAAGCAGGGGAUCUUCGGACCUUGCGCGAUUGAAUGAGCCGAUGUCGGAUUAGCUAGUUGGCGGGGUAAAGGCCCACCAAGGCGACGAUCCGUAGCUGGUCUGAGAGGAUGAUCAGCCACACUGGAACUGAGACACGGCCCAGACUCCUACGGGAGGCAGCAGUGGGGAAUAUUGGACAAUGGGCGCAAGCCUGAUCCAGCCAUACCGCGUGGGUGAAGAAGGCCUUCGGGUUGUAAAGCCCUUUUGUUGGGAAAGAAAAGCAGCAGGUUAAGACCCCGCUGUUCUGACGGUACCCAAAGAAUAAGCACCGGCUAACUUCGU
rnacentral:rRNA from 1 species